UGAGAACUUACUAUGUGCCAGAUACUGCUUACAACUCCAGUCUUUGCUCAAUCAAAUCCACCCAGUUGCUUUUAUUCAUUCCAUGAAUAUGUAGGAUAGCAUGAUGGUUUUGCAGUCUCUGUAGGCAUUAUUAUAGGUGGAACCUUUUGCAAAGCCUGCAUUUUAAAAGAUUCUGAAAUACUUUUGUGGGUGUCCUGUUUCAGAUGCUAGAAAGAUGCUAAUGGACCCUUCUGACUUUCUUUUUGGUGCUUCUCUUAGGCAGCAUUUUCAAAAGAUCACUAACUCAUACAUGGGCUUUACCUCUCUAGAUGAAGUUGCACGAUGUCAAGGUCAUACGAGGACAGCUCUUCACCUGUAUGACCACCUUGAACUUUUCACAAUAGGACAUGAAGGUGUUUGUUUUGUUUUGUGGCUUGCAGUCCCCACAGCGUGUCACAGAGGAAGUGAUAUGGAACUAUUAUCAAAAGCAGCUUUUGUGUCCCAUCCGCAUGAGUGGGGAAUGAAGGGCUUUGCAGCGCAUUUCUUUUUUUUUUUUUGUUUGUUUGUUUUUAAAUGACUAUAAAUCAUGCUGCUAUAAAGACACAUGCACACGUAUGUUUAUUGCGGCAUUAUUCACAAUAGCAAAGACUUGGAACCAACCCAAA
rnacentral:lncRNA from 1 species